UGUGUCUCCUACGUGACAAUAGCGUUGUUGAGAGAGCGUUGGAUCCGUGGUGACGAGAGUUGCAAAUUAACUAUGUAGUUGUCUUAAUUAUAAUGCGUUAUUGUGAUUAGUUCACGUUGAACAACCAUCGUUUCCUGUUUAAUCAACAUCUGUUUAAUCCAUUUAUUGUAAAUAAACUAAUUGUAGUAAAGAUUCUACAAUAGUUCUUUUUUUAUUAUUUAAUUCGUACUUUGCAAUUUGUCCAGCUGGACAUUUGGUAAAUUUUUCUAACUUAAUUGCUAAAUAACAUGUGGAUGUUUGUCUAUUUUAUUUCUUUAGUGAGGUCAGUGGGGUGUUUUCUUUUUAGUCUUCUUUCUACGAGAGUUUUGCUCGCUUCAGC
rnacentral:misc_RNA from 1 species